UUUGAGAGGGAGAAAUGCAGACAGUCCUUGCAGCUGCUGCCUAAACAAGUGAAAAAAUAUUUAAAAAACAAGCCAGAAGUCUGCAUGAAGCCAUUUUUGUACUCUGGAGAAUAUAUGUUUGUUUUUCCGAUCUGUCCUUGCCUUGGUGACGUUGUGAACGUAACUGAACGGGACUUGGUCCCUGCUGUGACUACAGUAUCAGCCCUGGUCCCACUGUGGAUCUUUCUUGGAGCCCCUGGGUGACUCCCACAGUGGAGGAGGGGCUCUUUGUCACAGUGGCUGACCCAGCUCCUGCACCUGGACUCUGGACCCUGCUCCAGGUCAUCCACACAAACUCCACAGGAGUUUCCCAGCAUGCCUCGGCUGUGGAGCUGAGGGAGAGCUGUUUGUCCUGCUGCCCUGUGAGUUUCCCACUUUUGAACUGGACAGCCCCACAGUGGUGUGGAGUCGCUCCGACCUCAGUCCUCCAACCGUCCACCAGCAUCAAGGAGACGAACUGAAAGAUCCAAACCAGCGUUACAGCGGCCGAACAUCCAUGAAGACUGACGCUCUGGAAACUGGAGACCUCAGCCUGAACCUGACCAACCUCCACCUGUCUGACAGCGCCACCUACACCUGCUCCGUCAGAUCAUUUAGACUGAGAGAUGUCCCACUGCAGGUCAAAGAACCAUUUCCAUCCUGGGCCACAGCUCUGCUGGUUCUGCUGGUUCUGCUGGCUCUUCUGGUUCUCCUGGUUCUGCUGGUUCUCCUGGUUCUUCUGGUUGUCCUGGUUCUCCUGGUUCUUGUUCUCAUCGUCUCUGGAGGUCUUUUAUUUCAUUUCUGGCACUAUUUUAAGUCAGCUACAGCAGGACUGUGCGGUGACGCGCUGUCAGGAGGAGACAGGUCUGCGACAGGAGCCCCGCCCCCUUGUUCUUCUGGCCGGUGUGGUUUCCAUCCCGGAAGAGAAAUUCCUCUCCUGUUUCAGAUAAGGAACAUUUGCCCGCGUGUGGCUGGACUGUGGGAUUAUGGGAAUUUUAGCAUAUGGAAACAUUUGUUUAGCCUUUGUGUUGACAGUGUAGAGUUAUUUCUGCAGCAGGGUUUUAAGUGUGUUGAGACUCUUUUUAUUGUAUAGGGGAUUUAACCUGUAACUCUGGUUGUGUCUGUUUCCAUGGAAAUAAAUGGUGUGUUUAAGGCCAACUUAGUGUCUGUGCCCUGAGCACUGACCCACUCACUCCCCUUCUAUUUGUAUGUGAACGCACUUUGAGGUGCAGAUUUAGAUCCACCACUUUAAGCGGCUACACUAACACUCAGAGAGUCAGUUGGAGGUGGAGGAGGGGGCGGAGUCUGUCCGGCUGCCUGAGGACACUCAGGUGGAGUGGUGGCACCGUCCUGAGAAGCCUGACAAACAGCAGCAGCAUCACAGAGACCGAGUGAAAGAAAGACGAGCGUGUGAAAAGCGGACAGUUCAGCCUGACCCUUAAACACCCCACAGAGAGAGACAGAUACAGCUGUGUGGCCUGGAGCCAGGGAAACAUCAUCGGAUGGAGAGUCGUGCUGCUCACAGUUACAGGGACGGUUCAGGUCCAGGAUCAAACAUCAGGAACAGAAGCAGCUCCAUUGAUCCGACUCCUCUGAUGGCUGAUCAAUCAGUUUGAUCUGUUUGAUUAUUGAUCAGUGAUGUCAGAGUGGAGUCAGUGUGAUGAUCAGUUUAUGUCAGUAUGUCCAUGAAGGUUCUCCAUCAUCCAGGUCAUCGUAGUCGAAGGAGCUUGGAAAGAAAAGCGUCUGGACUUCUUUAAGUUGCUUGAAGACGUUUCACCUUCAUCUGAGAAGCUUCUUCAGUUCUAGGGCUUAAAUCUGGGACUCUUCAAAUGGUGAAGAGUCCCAGAUUUAACUCUGUUGGAGUGUCCCCCUAAGAUCCCUUCCCAGACGCCUUAACGCCCACUCACAUCCUGGGCCAUCUGACCUCAGGAAAUCCCAUGAUAGGGUGAGAGACAAGCUUGUAGACAAACAGCUUUUUACACUAUAAUUACCUGUUUGAGUCCAGUGAGUGUCAAUGACAGGAAAUCCUCACCUGGUGGUGAGUGAGAGAAACCACAGCAGAGACCUCUGUGUUUAAGAAAUGGAUGGUUAUGGUCGCUGAUGCUCUCAGCUGGCUCAGGUUUCACACCAGCACACAGGUACGAGUGCACAAGCUCCCACUGUGGAGUAGACACUACAGGGACUACAUGUGAACGCCUGUGGAACUGUUCACACAGACUGUGUAGUUACAGGAAGCUGCCAGCAGGUGGCAGCGACUAGCUGAACCUCCAGGCCGUGACAGCCAAAUCCAGAAACAACACUAACAAACAUAACAAGAAAACACAAACAAGAAGAAUGACCACUGACACAGGUCUCGGGAACAGUCACCAUUUCUGAUAAUCUUUAAUAACAUGAUGUUUACCAGGAAUGAGUAUCAGUUGUGAUUCAUCUGAGGUUAGCUGGGCUCUUGUUAACCAACCAACUCUGAGAUGCUUGGAGGAAAGGUUGUACUUUGCUGAGUUGGCUUCAUUAGCCAUGAAGAAAAGACUAGCUGGUCAGCUGGAUUGUUGUCGGUAGACACAGGCUUCCAUUGUCUUACUCUAGUGAACUGUUUGAUCUGUUCUUUUCAAACCAUAGAUGGCCACCGCUGGAGAUUGACCACUGCCAGCUUCAUCUGAAACUCAAGGUUGAGGUCACAAAACCACAAGACAGAAAUAAUCCCAAGGUUUUUCUUUGCCCAAGAAGCUGUGGAACAUUUGCUGAAUGUCAGUUAUACUGCAAAGGGUUUGCACUUGAAACAUACAAGCAAACUGUUAUUUAGACCUGAGCCUGGCGUAGCACAUGAAAAAGGGACAUAGUAUUGUACUGAGCACUGAAGUUACACUCAGUAGCACAGGAACAGAGCGGGAGGGAGAGAGAGAGAGCCAGGGACAACAACGUCACAUUAGAAAGGUAUAGUAAUCAUCCACAACUAUUUUCAGUUGCAGAUCAUAAAGGAUUCAGAAAGUUUAUUCAUGCAGGCCCAUAUGACAGAGAAUAUGCAUCUUCUUUUUGUUUUCAUAUUUUAAUUUAUAUUUAAUUGUGUUGUGGUUUGCAGUGUUUUGUGUUGUUUCACUUUACAUUGGUUUAAAAGGAAAAAGCUGAAAAUUUAAAUAGUUAAAAGUUGAAAAGUUGGUUUUUGUAUUAUAUGAUUUAUUCAGUACAUUUUAUCUGGAGUGAAUAAAUAAAAGUAUAUUUGCGGUGGCCCCUACAGACAAAGCAGCACGUACAAACUCCAAAACAUGUACAAACACAACAGAAGUGCUCCAGGAUGCGCAGUGUUGAGCUUUUGUUACCUAGUGGCUACACAAGCCAGCAAGUACCAACAACCGGAUUUGGUGUGUGGUAGUAACAGGUAAAUGAACUUUUUUUUUAAAUUAUUUGAAUAUAUAUGAGUGCUUGUGUAUAAAUACACAAACAAUACACAUAUGCUUUCAACUGUGUAAUUUAAGUGAUCUAGGUAGCUCUGUUUUGGAAGUUCAGUUCAUGCUACAAAUGUGUUUUGGAGUUUGUACGUGCUUUGUCUCUAGGGGCCAUUUAAACAUAUAUGUAUAUAAACAUAUAUAAAUAAAAACACUUUUUUAACAUUAGUAAUUCCUUUUGUGCAUAAUUUUAUAUUAUUGUUAAUAAUAAAUUAAUUAAAGCAACAAAACAACUGAAGAGCCAGUUCUCUGGUCCCCUCCCCAAUCAGACCAGGAGUGACAUGUUUAGCCGCAUGUUCUCCUUAAAUUGCUGGCUGUCUGAGUGGUGUCCCAGAAACGAUGUGGGCUUCAUAGAUAAUUGGCAAACCUUCUGGAGGAAACC
ensembl:lncRNA